rnacentral:lncRNA from 1 species
GUACGAACCUCUAUGGAGAAGUAUGUACUGUAUGAUCGGUAGAAGAAGAAAAGCUGAAGGAAUAACAAAACUUUCCUCAAACUUAUUCUUCCUCCUUUCCCACCAUACUCUCCGACUUAUAUUAAUAUAGGAAAUAAACAAAGAGAUCUAUUACUCCUGCUCUACUUCAAUCUAGCAAAUGUUAUCUCCCAUUUUGUCUAUUUUAUAACAUUUUAAGAUUGAUUUUUUUUUUUCUUUCUGUCCUAUUACCCUUCUUCAUUCACCAUUUUCUCCAAAUACUUUUCUCAUAUCUUAAUUUUCUAACACAAAAUGUGUAAAUUAAAAAUUAAAAACUAAAAACGAAAUAAUUGUCAAAUGGAUGCUAAAUUUAACAAAGAAAAAAAAGGCUUAAAAAGUCUGGUCGCUUGAAGCCUUGAACUAAGUUCAGAGCAUGAUCAAUUUUCAGAGUAGAGUCCUGGAAAUACCAGGUUCAGACGUUAAGUGUAUGGUUUGAGAUUUGCUUACAAUAUUGUCAGCACGUAUAUGAAUACUUACUCAACAAGAUAAUUCGAUGCAUGCUAUCUUACUGUUGUUUUUAUUUUUCGUGUCUGAUUUAACAACUUAAUGCGAUCAAUAUUUCCGAAUACUUUUCUUAGUUCCAACUUCCAACUUUAGCUUAAGAAAAGUAGUUUCCUUGAAAAACAGAGGCAUCAAAAUUUUCUUGGUUGAAGUCAAUUACCAACAUAUAACAGACUUUUCAAAAGUCAUUAAAUCGAAAACAAAACAAAGAUGAUAUCGAAUUCUAGGUAGCUUUAAAAGUAGAUCAAUUACUUCUUUGGAUAAUGAAAAUUAUUUGAUAUAAAAAGUCGCCAAGGAUAUAAAAAUGGAUAAAAUUAAAUUAAGAAAUGGGGAAUUUCAGUUAUGUUACACAAUGAUCGAGACAAUAAUAAUAAUUUUGUUAUUCAACUCGUAAUCUACUAGAAUCGAACUUAAGAUAUUUUAUUUACAAGUGCGAAGAAUAUUUUAAACUCUACUACAAACUGCUAAGUUUGCAUCUCAAUUGAAUAUAGUGCUAAGUGACUCUUCAAAACUGUAAUUUAUCGUCCCAAGUUUUAGCGAUUUAUUUCAUUAUUGAAGUAUUUUGGAAAUUUAAUAGAAAUUAGUUCGUUAAAUUCUCCAUUUUAGAUAAAAGUGAAGUUAGGACUACCUUGGGCAUUUCAAAUUUACUCGACCUUUUUUGUCAACCUUUGAGUUGGUUAGAUGAGCUCAAUUCCACAAGUGCGUAGGCAAAAACUUCCCAAAACAGAGCUUUAAAAAAGAAAUUAUGAGCCACUAAAUUUAAGGCAUUUUUUGUCAUUUGAUAUCUUCUAUAAAGAAAUUACAAGCUACUAAAGUUUGGAGGAGCCUUCUAUUGAACUAAACAUGGUAAAUACCAAUAUUAAACUAAACAUGGUAAAUACCAAAAAUAUAUGAUAAUAUUUGGAAAUUUCUUGUAUAUUCAUUAAUCUCCAAAGUGGAGUAUAUAUAGGAGUUACAAUUGGUAUUACAUAUGUACUUCACCAAUGUGGGACAAUAAACUACUAUUUACAUUUUAACUAAUGUAUAACUCGCAACACUCCCCCUCAAGUUGGUGCAAAGAUGUCACGCAUGCCCAACUUGUCAAGCGAGUCGGAAAACGCACUAUUAGACACAGCCUUAGUAAGAGCAUCAGCCAGUUGAUCUUCAGAUCUCACAAACGGAAACAUAAUAAUUCCAGCAUCCAAUUUUUCCUUAAUGAAAUGUCGAUCAAUCUCCACAUGUUUUGUUCGAUCAUGUUGCACUGGAUUAUGAGCAAUCUCAAUAGCAGCCUUGUUAUCACAAUGAAGUUUCAUAGCACCUUUGUGUUUAAACCCAAGAUCUCUCAAUAAUUUUUCCAACCACAACAACUCACAUACACCAUGAGACAUACCACGAAACUCAGCUUCUGCACUUGACCUAGCCACCACUUUUUGUUUCUUGCUUCUCCAAGUAACUAAAUUACCACCCACAAACAUAAAGUAUCCAGAUGUAGAUCGCCGAUCAAUGAUAGAACCAGCCCAAUCUGCAUCUGUAUACCCUUCGACAUUCAAAUGAUCAUUCUUGGAGAAAAAACAGGCCUCUGCCAGGAGCCAUCUUCAAGUACCUCAAAAUACGAGUUACUGCAUCCAUAUGAGCUUCACUAGGUGAGUGCAUAAACUGACUUACCACACUAACUGCAUAAGCAAUGUCAGGGCGAGUGUGAGACAAAUAAAUUAAUCUCCCCACAAGCCUCUGAUACCGUUCCUUAUGAGUUGGAACUUGAUCUGGAAAUAAGCCCAGACGAUGAUUCUGCUCAAUCGGAGUAUCAACAGGUUUGCAAUCUAACAUACCUGUUUCAGCUAACAAAUCAAGGACAUACUUUCUUUGAGAUAGAAAAAUACCAUGCUUGGAUCGUGCAACCUCGAUUCCAAGAAAAUACUUCAAUUCACCCAAUUCUUUCAUCUCAAACUCAGUAGCUAGGUACUUUUGAAGGUGCUGUAUCUCCUUUUGAUCAUCACUAGUCACUAUCAUGUCAUCAACAUAAAUAAUCAAUGCAGUUAGCUUACCAUUUUGUCGCUUUAGAAACAAAGUAUGAUCUGAAUGACUCUGGAUAUACCCAAACUUCUUCAUUGAACUUGUAAACCUCCCAAACCAUGCUCUAGGAGAUUGUUUCAAACCAUACAAGGCCUUUCGUAACCUGCAUACAAUACCUUUUCCAGGAGAUGUUCCAAUACCAGGUGGGAGAUCCAUAUACACUUCCUCCUUAAGAUCACCAUGAAGGAAAACAUUCUUAACAUCAAACUGCAACAGAGGCCAAUCCUGGUUUGCUGCCAAGGACAGAAGAACACGCACAGUAUUAAGUUUGGCAACAGGAGCAAAGGUCUCCUGAUAGUCCACCCCAUAGGUUUGAGUAUAACCCUUAGCAACUAAUCUGGCUUUAUACCGAUCAAUAGAACCAUCUGCUUUGUGCUUAAUAGUAAACACCCAUCUACAUCCAACGGCUUUCUUCCCGUUUGGUAAAGGAACCAAAUCCCAAGUAGAAUUCUUUUCCAAAGCUUCCAUCUCAACUUUCAUAGCAUUAACCCACUUAGGGUCAGACAAAGCAUCUUGCAAUUUUGUUGGAAUUGAUACACUAGAUAGCUGACAUAUAUAAGAUGUAUAUGAUUGGGACAAACGAUGAGAAGACACAUAAUUGUUGAUAGGAUAUUUGGUUUUGGCAUGCAUAUCAGGCUCAUAUUGUAAUUUAGGUUUUCCACGAUUAGCUCGUGGAGGCAACUGAUAAGUAGAAGAAUCGUCAGAAUUUACCUCAUGUAUGCCACCAUCUUGUACCAAACAGUUAGAAGAAUCAUCACUGGACGAACCAUCAUUAGGCAACUCGUUAGACAUAUCAGCAGCAGGCAACCGAUCAUCAGAAGGUAAUUCAUCAGAUAUAUCAGCAGCAGGCAACCGAUCAUCAGAAGGUAAUUCAUCAGAUAUAUCAGCAGCAGGCAACCGAUCAUCAUCUGUAGUCGACUGAUUAGUAUCACGUAAAAUAAUAGGUUCUGUUCCCAACUCUGUCUGUAACACAUCAUCCAUAUCAUCUCUUUGAAUCUGCACUUCACUCCCCCUCUCCCCCUGAAGUGGAGAGUCGGAAGAGGGCUUCACAAAAUACGAAACUUCCUCAUGGAAGGUGACAUCCAUGGUAAUAUAAGUUUUUUGAGUCGGAGGAUGAUAACACUUAUAGCCUUUUUGAUUGUUAGCAUACCCAAUAAAGACACACCGGAGAGCACAUGCAUCAAGUUUACUCCGCUGAUGAGAGUAGACAUGCACAUACGCAAUACACCCAAACACUUUCGAAGGAAGCUUUGAAACAAAAACAAGAGAAACAUGUUUUUGUAGCACAUCAAACGGUGUCUGAAAAUCAAGAACCCGACUUGGAACACGAUUGAUCAAAUACACAGCAGCCAAAACAGCAUGACCCCACAAAUGAUUAGGAACACAUUUAUCUAACAUCAAGGAACGAGCAACCUCCAUUAUUUGACGAUUCUUCCGUUCGGACACACCAUUUUGUUGGGGUGUAAACGGAGUAGUCGUCUGGUGAAUAAUACCAUGAUCACGGAAAAAACAUGCCAAAGUGUGAUUCAUAUAUUCUCCUCCGUUAUCAGACCUGAAGACCUUAACUGUGGUCUGAAACUGAGUAGAUACCAUUGUACAAAAUUCUUGAAGAAAUAACGGAACAUCACUCUUAUUUUUCAUCAAGAACACCCAAGUUACCCGAGUACAAUCAUCAAUAAAAGUAACAAACCAACGGAAUCCAUUAGAAGUAACUUUUGCAGGACCCCACACAUCAGAAUGUAUCAAAUCAAAUGGUAAAGUAGCUUUAGAAUCACUUACAGGAAAGGAAGCACGAUGACUCUUAGCCAUGACACAUGUUUCACACUUGAACUCUGAAUAACUACAAGUGCGAAACAAAGAAGGAAAUAGAUGCUUCAUAUAACUGAAUGAUGGAUGUCCCAAUCGUCGAUGCCACAACCAAAUUUGAUGUCUAUUAUCCACUUUAGCACUUAAAACUUGAUGAUUAUUUGAACCGGAAACAACAGUAUCCUCCAUAGUCAAGAUGUACAAACCCCCUAUCCUUUUACCAUAACCAAUUAUCUUCUGAGUUUGAAUAUCUUGAAAAUAACAAUACGUAGGAUAGAAGUGAGCAGAACAAUAUAAAGUAUCAAGAAGUUUUCCUACCGACAAUAGAUUGCACUUAACAUCAGGAACAAGUAAAGCACGGACCAGUGAUAAGGUUGGAGUCAAAGAGAUAGUGCCUUCACCCUUCACAGGGGAAAGUGCUCCAUUUGCACUAGUAAUAUACAGAUCACGAACAUAAUCACCUAACUCAUCAAACACUCUAGGGUCACUCGUCACAUGAUCAGUGGCCCCAGUAUCAAUUAUCCAUUUAUUUGUUCCACCAAGAUGCAUAACAACACUAUGAUUAUAUUGAGCCAUUGAACAAAAUCACGAACAAUAAAGGCACAAAAGAUACGCAGCGGAAUGAAAACAAUUUACCAGAUAAUGUAGCAAUCACUGUUCACGGCACUGUAGCAAAUACUAUUCACAGCACUGUAGCAAUCACUGUUCACGCAAUGUAGAAGACCACUGUUCACGGCACUGUAGCACGAUACUUUUUUUUUUUUUUUCCACACAGAGGAAAUCACGAAAAAUAUGGGCACAAAAUUUAAAACACACAGGUCACCAAGAGCGAACUGCUCUGAUGCCAUAUUGAACUAAACAUGGUAAAUACCAAUAUUAAACUAAACAUGGUAAAUACCAAAAAUAUAUGAUAAUAUUUGGAAAUUUCUUGUAUAUUCAUUAAUCUCCAAAGUGGAGUAUAUAUAGGAGUUACAAUUGGUAUUAGAUAUGUACUUCACCAAUGUGGGACAAUAAACUACUAUUUACAUUUUAACUAAUGUAUAACUCGCAACACCUUCCAGUUUUGGGAAGCUGACUCGCAGGCAUGACCUGGCAACCCAUUUCCUUUGCGUGUUGGAAGUAUAUUUUUCCUUCGUCGGUGCUGAUCUCGGCCACAAUCCCUAUCUGACUCGUAUGU